UGAGUUUGAUCAUGGCUCAGAACGAACGCUGGCGGCGUGCCUAACACAUGCAAGUCGAACGUGAUCCGCCCUUCGGGGUGGUGAAAGUGGCGCACGGGUGAGUAACGCGUGGAUAAUCUGCCCGAGGAUUUGGGAUAACAUCUCGAAAGGGGGUGCUAAUACCGAAUAAGCCCACGGGGUCUACGGAUCUUGCGGGAAAAGGGGGGGACCUUCGGGCCUCCUGUCCUUGGAUGAGUCUGCGUACCAUUAGCUAGUUGGUGGGGUAAUGGCCUACCAAGGCGACGAUGGUUAGCUGGUCUGAGAGGAUGAUCAGCCACACUGGAACUGAGACACGGUCCAGACUCCUACGGGAGGCAGCAGUGGGGAAUUUUGCGCAAUGGGGGAAACCCUGACGCAGCAACGCCGCGUGGGUGAUGAAGGCCUUCGGGUCGUAAAGCUCUGUCUGGAGGGAAGAAAUGAUUGGGAGCUAAUACCUCUUGAUCUUGACGGUACCUCUGAAGGAAGCACCGGCUAACUCCGUGCCAGCAGCCGCGGUAAUAC
rnacentral:rRNA from 1 species